UACGUAGGUGGCAAGCGUUUGUUCGGAAUUAUUGGGCGUAAAGGGCGCGUAGGCGGUCUUGUAAGUCAGCUGUGAAAGCCCGGGGCUCAACCCCGGAGGGUCGGCUGAUACUGCAGGACUGGAGUACGGAAGAGGUAGCUGGAAUUCCCGGUGUAGCGGUGAAAUGCGUAGAUAUCAGGAAGAACACCCGUGGCGAAGGCGGCUCUCUGGGACGGUACUGACGCUGAGACGCGAAAGCGUGGGGAGCGAACAGG
rnacentral:rRNA from 1 species